rnacentral:tRNA from 1 species
GCCCCGGUGGCGAAACCGGUAGACGCAACGGACUUAAAAUCCGUCGACGGGCAACCGUCAUGCCGGUUCGAGUCCGGCCCGGGGCACCA